GGGAGUGUAGCUCCGUGGUAGAGCAUGCGCUUAGCAUGCUUAAGGUCCUGGGUUCUAUCCCCAGCACCAUUA
rnacentral:tRNA from 1 species